UACGAAGGGGUGCAAGCGUUACUCGGAAUCACUGGGCGUAAAGCGUGCGUAGGCGGUUCGUUAAGUCUGCUGUGAAAGCCCUGGGCUCAACCUGGGAACUGCAGUGGAUACUGGCGGACUAGAGUGUGAUAGAGGAUGGUGGAAUUCCCGGUGUAGCGGUGAAAUGCGUAGAGAUCGGGAGGAACACCAGUGGCGAAGGCGGCCUCUGGAUCAACACUGACGCUGAGGCACGAAAGCGUGGGGAGCAAACAGGG
rnacentral:rRNA from 1 species